rnacentral:lncRNA from 1 species
AAAUACACAUUAUUUCCCCAAGUCUCUCUCUCUCUCUCUCCUCCAAAUAACGAAUUUAAGGAUUUCUUCUCCAAAUUCCAAAAUCGCUGCCGCAGCUCCAGAUUGCUCGUCGCCGGCAAACGUCGACUUCUAGCUGCAGAUGGCGGUUACGGUGGAACUGAGGGAAAUUACAUAAAUCACGUUCUCAAUUUCUGCAUGAUUUCCGAGUUCUAGAUUUCAAUUUCCCGAUUUUCUGGCUAUUCCAAUUUCCUGAUUUUCAGGUGAUUUUUGAUUUCUUGAUUUAUUCACCUUCUUGAUUUCUUGUCAUGGCACCUAGAUCUAGGAUUUAACGAUGGAUGUGCUAGAUGAUAAGGUAAAUAUAUUUUUAAUUAUUUAUUAAUAUACUAUUUUAAUAUAAAAUUAAUAUAUUUUUAAAUUUUAUUUUGUAGGUAGGGGUGAGAAUGGGCCGGGUCGCGGGCGAGGCGGCCCUGCCCAUUCUAAAAAACGGGACGCGGAACGGAACAGGACGGGUCAGGUACUCUACGUCCCUGCCCCUAGACCCGAUGACCAAGGCGUGGAACGGGGCGACCCGCCUAAAAUUUUAAAAAAUUUAUAAAAUAUAAAUUAAAAACAAAAUAAUUAAAAAAUUAAACCAAAAAUUUAAAAUGGGUAAACUUUUUAUGCUAAUUCUUAAAAAAAUUAAUCUUAAUAAUCCUAUAUCUAAUAUAAUUUAAUUUAUUAAAAAAAAUUAAAAAUUAUUUUUUAAAAAAACCGGGCCGACCCACCCGGGUUUUGCACUGCCCCGAGACCUGCCACGAAAUAUGACAGGGGUAACAGGGCACGGGGCAAUGGGGAAAAAUUAAAAUACCACCAGGGCGCGGAACGUGGCGACCCGCCCCGUUUUCACCCUAAGUUGUGUGAAGAAUGCAAGAAUACAAAAUCACCCAUAAAGGUGUUUGUGUAAAUAAAGAAUAAG